AAAUUUUAAAAUCAUUUUUCAGCCCAUUGGCCGAACACUUCAGCAGCCUCCCUAAAUAUCAACCAACCGGUCCACAAUACACUCUUGACCCGACCCGUUCCCCCUACUCUUUCUCCUUUAGCGUACAACAACUACAGUACGCAACAACAACAUCAGAAAACACCAACGACAACCACUGAGCCACGGCAAAAACCAAAACAGCGAAAUCGACCCGCCAUCAACCCGAUUCCCCUCAUUCUCGACCCAAAUCCGUCAAUCCGCAACCAACCCAUCCUUUUUCUCUUCGUCACGUGUCUCACGCACCAGUGAGACGAGCAAAGAAACCCUCGAAUCUUCUAGAAGAUCGAUUAGGUGUCAUCCUCCAACGCCCAACUCCGCGAAUCUAGGGAUAACGGUAUAAUUUUGGUACAUAUUUGGGCGAUUUUUAUUGAUGGGGAGGGGAAUUCGGUUUUCCCAAUAUUCUCGAUUUUCAAAUUCUUCAAAAAACUCCAAAUUUGGUACAAGUUGGUGAUGGGAAAAACUUAUCUAGAGUUCAAAUUUUGAAUUCCCUUUUUUGCAAAUACCAAAGUUAUCCUCAUUUGAAGCCCUAAAAAAAAAACCCUAGUUUAUUCUCUAUAAAAGGGGUGGAGAAUUUUGUCGCCAGAAAAAAAAAAAUCGGGGUUCGAAAACGGAGGAAGAGAAAAAAAGAGAGAGUCAGCCUUUGAAAAAGAAAGAUACAGUUUUGAUUAGUAAAAUUUUCAUUUUUGGGCGUUCGUCGAGUAAUUAGAGCUUCCGAGGUGACGACGCCGGCGUUUUUCCGGUGGUGGUGGAGUCCGACGUCAGCUCGUAGGCCUAUUUUGCUGCCCCGAAAGAGGGAGUAGCUGUAGAUGGCUAUGAUGGCCUUAGGAUUAGUUUGUGACUUGUUGCUGCGCUAGUUCAUUGAAUCAGCGCUUAUGUCGAAAUUUUCCAUGUGAUUAUGUUGAAUAUGCUGUUUCAAUUGAUUUCGUUAGCUAUCUGUCUGUGACUAUUUUUAUGGAGCUACUUGAAUCUAACUCAGUGUUUAUUUCGAGUAUAAACGUCAAAUAGUGAUUCUCUUCUACCAAAGACUGAGGCUUUAGGGAAUGGUUUUUAUUGUAGAUAACCCUGUUCGUCUUUCGACAUGCCAGUGCUUUCUUUUUUUCCCUCUAAACCAGCAACCUUUUUUGUAUGAAUGUUUCUGUAAAUGAAAUUAUGUGAACUUGUGCUUAUGUUUCGGCUGUCUCAACUUGUCCUUGGUGGUUGUGUUUCCAAAGCAAUGAACCCAAUAAGGGGAAACAAUUUCACAGUAGAAUGUUCUCAGUUAAUGAAAUUAAUGAGUGUAGAAUUUUCAUAUUAGUUGAGAUACUAAAAAAUGUGAACUUUUUGAUGGUUCUCUCUGUGAAAAAUGCCGAGGUAUGAGAAAUACCCAUCUGUUAUACAUGAAUAUCGAUCUCGUUCUGCAAUAAGCUUUUGUUGGAAAAUGAGUUGCAUCUUUUGUUCAGUAGGCUACUUUUCUUUCAAUCUUCUAUUAAUCCUUUGGUAUGGAAACUCUAGUUUGGUUAUGUUAACACUACCCUUUGCAUUCUUAAUUAAUUGUCGUCCUUGCUAAAGAUAGAUGAAUGCAAUGUUUUGGUUUAAAAUCACCUGCAACAUGAUGGCUUCCACCCUGAAAAGGCUUAUUUUCUUCUUGUUCGAAGUUGUCAGUUAACCUUUGUAAUUCAACAAGUUGUAGACUUGUUAAAUUGUAUUGAAAUUGAAUUUGAUUAUAUUGAAAUUAUUUUAAUAAUGAAACAUAAAUUAUUAUGCCACACAACAUGUUCGCAGAUUCUAUGCUUACUUUCCCACGCCAUUCUUUGUUAUGCCUUUUUGUUUGAAAACCAAAUAAGAGGUGCAUUAUAGUCUGACUUCGUAGUAGUAGAAGUUUGCUACAGCGGUUAUAUUUUGUAGAGUCAAUUAUGUUAUGUUUCAUUAUAUAUUUAUGUGAAGUAUUUUAACAAAUAACAAUAUUAGGAAGACAUUUGAAAUUGAACCGAUGCGCAACUAUUAUUCGGACAAUUUGGUAGUUGUUUCGAAAGAUAAAAUCAAUUAUAACAAAACUUUGUAUUGGACCUACAAAAACAAAAGAAGCAUUAGUUAAAAUUGAACCGAAACAAGAAGAUAUACACUUGUUUAAUUUGUCUCCUUAACAUUACUUAGUACCAAAAGGGUGUGGCCUAAGUAAUAAUCAAUAAAGUGAGUAUUUUUCUGUCUUUUUACUCACCCUUGUAUUCCUGGUUGCAGACUUACUUAGUGAGCUUAAUUGUCAUACCUUUUUCUGUGAUCGUCUUAUAGGCUUUAAGUAUGAAGAAUGAAAUCCUUUUGAUAUGAUAUUUCUUUAAAUACGAAUGUGUCAACUGGACCUUUUUUUUCCUGUACACACAAUCCUACUGUCAACCUCACCUCUUAAAGGAAAUUGACUUAAAGAUUCAAGUUGCCUAGACUAGAGAUUCAUAUUUAGUUGAUUAGUCAGAAAUGAUAUGUUAACGCAUCUAAUUUGAAUAUUCUUGUUUUUUAACGGUUGAAAUAUGCAAAUAAUUAUUCUUGAAAAUUUCCCAGUAGUUUGAUGUUUAAUGUUAAAUUUUGCCCUUGGAAUUACACUGGUGUUUGAAUUUGUUGUUCCCUUUCCUAGUCUAUUCCUCGUAUUGUUAUUAGUUGGUAUACACCCCUUGUGAUUGCUUUACAAAAUCAUUUCAUAACAUGUUUGUUGGGCCUUCUCGUCACAUUGAAACGAUAAACUGUCCGUUCUAAGUUCAUAAACUCUGUUCCUUCCACACUUUACCUGUAUGCUAACAUAUUUAGAUGCGGUAGGAAUCCCAUAGUUUAUUCAUUACUAAAAUUUGCACACAUAUUAACUUUUUCUUCUUUUUUUUUUUCUUUGCAUAUGGAUACAUUUGGGUCCUAAAUGGACUCUUCCCAUGUUUGCAUUAUUGACAUGGGCCAUUGGGGCCCAUUACCCUCGAGUCAAUGUCGAAGCCUCCCAAAAGAUAAAUAUAUGGCAUACGAAUAUAAGGAGUUGAACGAAGAAGAAUGGGCUAAAGUCCCAUCGUUGAAGCGUCCAAGAGACCUGAAAGUCUCAAUUUCCAUUUCAUUUAUUUAUUAUUCAUUUAUUAUUGUUGUCCUGUUUAUUUAGUUAUUUAUUUUAUUUGGGCCACGAAGCCAAGGGUGUAUUUAAUACAGAUGGAGCGAGACUCGAGCCAAAGGCUCGAAAGGCUCGAAAACUAGAUUAUGACAGGUGAAACGGGUCGAAAGCCUAAUUAGAUUAGGACAGGGUUCGUUAAUUUGGGCCCAAUGACCCGUCUUUUACUUCCUCCCUCCUUUUCCCUUUUAUGUGUUUAUUUGCUUAUUAGUUUGUUUAGACUUAGUUAAAAUUCCUACGAAGUCGCUCAAAUCUAUUUA